rnacentral:rRNA from 1 species
AUUGAACGCUGGCGGCAUGCCUUACACAUGCAAGUCGAACGGCAGCACGGGAGCUUGCUCCUGGUGGCGAGUGGCGAACGGGUGAGUAAUACAUCGGAACGUACCCUGAAGUGGGGGAUAACGUAGCGAAAGUUACGCUAAUACCGCAUAUUCUGUGAGCAGGAAAGAGGGGGAUCGCAAGACCUCUUGCUUUAGGAGCGGCCGAUGUCGGAUUAGCUAGUUGGUGAGGUAAAGGCUCACCAAGGCGACGAUCCGUAGCGGGUCUGAGAGGAUGAUCCGCCACACUGGGACUGAGACACGGCCCAGACUCCUACGGGAGGCAGCAGUGGGGAAUUUUUGGACAAUGGGCGCAAGCCUGAUCCAGCCAUGCCGCGUGAGUGAAGAA